AUCCUCCUCCUUCCUCAACCCAUCAUCUUCUCCCCCAUCAGAAACCCAGAACCACUGAUUAUCCUCCUCCUUGCACUCACCCACAAAUCCAGAACCCACCCCCUUCAUCCCUGCCGCAACCCCACAACCACCCCCACUGAACUUCACCCCAUCCCCACUGCAACCCACGACCGAAAUUCGACCCCCAUCCCCAGAUCUGAAACCCUGCCAUACCAUGAAAAUCCUUCCGCGGGCCAAAAAUGGAGCAAAACAGCAUGAGAGACAUCGAUCUGGGUUUUGGGUUUUGUGAUUUUCGGGAUUUUCAUGAUUUCUGGGUUGAGGUGGUUGAGAAGGGAGUGGUGGUGGUGUUGUGGUGGUGGUGCUGCGGUGGUGGUGCUGUGGUGGUGGUGAGGCAGAUCCAUCAAACCCUUAGCAGAUCCAUAGAUUCAGGUGAGGGGGAGUGAAGCAGAUCCAUACUCUCAACCCCUCACCUGCAACCGGAACCUCAACCCUACCCCCAUCCUAAACCUCAACCCUAACCCCCAACCGAAACCCCAAACCCACCAGAAAAGGGAGAAGAAAGAAAGAUAAGGGAUCUCUGACGCCGUUCUUGCUCGUGUUGAGCAUCAGUGAAGUUCGGUGGGGGUGGUUCUGGGUUGCCACGCCAUUCCUACCAGAUUCCCAAAAUCACCAAGCCAAAGGUCUCCAUAGCCACACACCCAACAAACUCCUCUAGAGCUCCUGAAAAUAAGUCUUGCUCUUCCUGCUCCAUCACUCUCUAGAUCCCAGAAAACCUUUUGUAAGAACCCUCUCGCCGUCUAGGCUCGGCCUUGCGCCGCCGUGGAGAGAUCUGAGAAAGAAGCGACGAGAAGGUUGUGGCAUCAUCUCCGCCGGCGCCGGCUAUGAGGUCGCCGCGCCUUCCUCCUCGAACCUGUCUUCCUCUUCACGGUUCUAGAUCUGGAGUGUUGUUUGCAGAUCCAAUUUGCAGUUCCACCGUGGCUACACAUACACUUGCUUCUUUCUUGUUCUUGUCUGGUUGUGGUGGUGGUUUGGUGUUUGAUGUUGACAGGUUCUGGAACCAUUUGUCAAGAGCUGUACAAAGCUUCCAAAAAAACUGAACUUUGGUUUGGUGUUUAAUUGAAAUGUUGUUUCUGGGUGUUUACAGGAUCUGGUGGUGGUGUUUGGUGAGAGAAAAGAGAUGAAGGGGGAGAGAGAAGAGGAACAAAUUAAGAUUAAGCUAAUUUUUUUUAAUUAAUUAAAGAUAAAUGUUUAAUUAAGAAAAUAUCUAUUUUGAUUUUUUUUUUAAAAACCUGUUAUAGUAGGUCAAAAUGGCUUGGUGCAACUGUACACAAGUUUUUAGAUGACCAUAAUAAAUUUUUCCCUUUUCUUUUCUUGUAUCUAAUUUACUUUUGAAGGACUAUUGAACUUUUGAGCAUACUUUUUGAUAGUUUAAAGUUUGAAAACCCAACAUAAUUCUUUUUCUCCAUCUAUUUAAUCCCUCCAACCACCCACAUUCAAAGAUUUUUGUUCAUCAUAUAUUCUUGAAGGUUUCUCUACUCUCUCUGCUACGAUGAUUUUCCCAGCUUCAACAAUGGCGUUUUCGGUUGGCAAUCGCCUCAUUCUUGCUCCUCUCCUUCAAUCUGGUUCGUGAUUUGUGGUCUCUGAUUUGCUAUAUGGUUCUGGUUUUCAACGCUGCCUCUAGAUUCGCUUCUAAUCGCAAUUCAGGUCAUGAGGGAGGCGGAGGUUGUGGAGUUUUACCACUCACUGAUGAGGAGAGAAUCACAGUCCUAACGGGAGCUGAGUUCCGGCGUGCCGGAGGUGCCGCCGGCGGCGGAAAAUCCACGUGACAUGAUCGGAGAGAUUGAGAACCGCUCAACUCACCUGCUAGCGAUCAAAACUGAUGUGGAAACACAAGGAGAUUUCAUUAGACGCUUAAUCAAAGAAGUGGAGGGUCUGCAUUUACUGACAUUGAAGAUGUGGUACUCUUUGUUAAAUGGCUUAAUGAUGAUCUCUCCUACUUGGUGGAUGAAAGAGCAGUGCUGAAACACUUUGAUUGGCCGGAGCAGAAAGCCGAUGCUCUACGCGAGGCUGCGUUCGGGUAUUGUUAUUUGAAGAAGUUGGAAUCUGAGGCUUCAUCCUCCCGCUAUGAUCCUAGGCAGCCAUGUGGUCUAGCACUCAAGAAGAUGCAGGCUCUGUUGGAAAAAUUAGAGCAUGGGGUUAAUAAUAUCUCAAGAAUGAGGGAGGCAGCAACCAAUAGAUACCAAGUCUUCCAAAUACCAGUACAUUGGAUGCUUGAUAAUGGUUUUGUGAGUCAGGAGAACAUUAAGGUAUUUGUGGACCAAAAUGGGAAACUUAUUCCUCAAGCUCUUUCUUAUUGUGAGAGAAGUUAUGGAACUAUGUGUGUGACAAGGCCAUCAAGGUGUUGAACUUAUCGAACAAUACCAGUGGAGGAGAGGGAGUGUCUGAAACGAGGGUCUGGUGAAGCUUUGAGCAGCAGCGGCUAUGGCUAUGUUGAGAUGCGAUUGGAUAGACAUCCACUGGCCACUGCUCUCAACUUAUCAGGAUUUGAAUUUCUGGUUCCAGUUCCUGAACACUUGAGAACUAAUGUGUGUGGGGUUUUGUUGAAAUUGAGAACUUGAAGAAGGUAGAAGUGUAGAACUAGAAGGAGAAGAUUAAAGAAUACUUACAAGCAGCACCAUAUAUCAAGACUAGAUGCAGUGCUUAGCAACGUACUAAGGAGGAAAUGAGAGUUACCUGAAAUAUCUCAACUUAUGGUGAUGAAGUCAUUGUUCUUGAUGCCCUUGCUAUGGAUAUGAUUUAGCAGGCUGAAGUGGAAAUUGAGAGUCUUGGUCAGCUUACAACUAGCAGGAUGAAAGAUAUUUCUGUCAAGAAGCAAGGAAAACUCGAGGAGAUAUUUUCCCGUGCUCAUGUAGAAAUAGAUCCAGAAGAUGCCAUAGAUAGGAUGGGGCAUUCAUCGAUUCUAGCUAGCAUGGACAGUCAGAAAGCAAAAGCAGAAGCAUGAGCUUUAAGCCGAAAAGAUAUAUUGGACAAGGUUGAUAAAUGAAUGUUAGCACGUGAAGAAGAGAGUUGGGUUGAAGGCUAAAGUCAGGUACUUAUAUAACCUCCCUUACACAAUUUUUCUCCUCUUAUGUGUUUGUGUGGUCGGGGAAAGAGAGAGAUUUGUUGAGAGAGGUGAAGUGUUGUUAUUCUGAUUAGGAUACUUCCUAUCAUGUUAACAAAAUUUAGAAUCCUUUAACCUGAGGCCAUUGGCAUUUGGCUUUAUUCUAUAGACUACAAGGUUCAAGUUUAAAUGCAGUUUUACAUUUGACAACAAAAUUGAAGUGUCUAGCGCUUUUUUCAAAAGUCCAUUAGUUUUAGCUUUGGCUUUGACGCAAGUUAUGAAUAUCACAUAAAGUUGUUACAUAUCUUUGUUGUCUGGUUUAUAAUUUUAUAGACACAACCUUUGUGAAACAGAUUGCUUGUAAUGUAAACUAUGGAUUAAAUUACUCAAGUAAAAGAUAUCUUUUUAUGCA